UACGAAGGGGGCAAGCGUUGUUCGGAUUUACUGGGCGUAAAGGGCGCGCAGGCGGUUUUUCAAGUCGGGUGUGAAAGCCCCGGGCUCAACCUGGGAACUGCACUCGAGACUGAGGAACUAGAGUUCGGGAGAGGAUGGCGGAAUUCCCAGUGUAGAGGUGAAAUUCGUAGAUAUUGGGAAGAACACCGGUGGCGAAGGCGGCCAUCUGGACCGAGACUGACGCUGAGGCGCGAAAGCGUGGGGAGCAAACAGG
rnacentral:rRNA from 1 species